UACGUAGGGUGCGAGCGUUGUCCGGAAUUAUUGGGCGUAAAGGGUGCGUAGGCGGUCGGGUAAGUCUGAUGUGAAAUCUCACAGCUUAACUGUGAAACUGCAUUGGAUACUAUCCGGCUAGAGGAAUGGAGGGGAGACUGGAAUACUUGGUGUAGCAGUGAAAUGCGUAGAUAUCAAGUGGAACACCAGUGGCGAAGGCGAGUCUCUGGACAUUUCCUGACGCUGAGGCACGAAAGCCAGGGGAGCAAACGGG
rnacentral:rRNA from 1 species